AAAUUGAAGAGUUUGAUCAUGGCUCAGAUUGAACGCUGGCGGCAGGCCUAACACAUGCAAGUCGAACGGUAACAGGAAGCAGCUUGCUGCUUCGCUGACGAGUGGCGGACGGGUGAGUAAUGUCUGGGAAACUGCCUGAUGGAGGGGGAUAACUACUGGAAACGGUGGCUAAUACCGCAUAACGUCGCAAGACCAAAGAGGGGGACCUUCGGGCCUCUUGCCAUCAGAUGUGCCCAGAUGGGAUUAGCUAGUUGGUGAGGUAACGGCUCACCAAGGCGACGAUCCCUAGCUGGUCUGAGAGGAUGACCAGCCACACUGGAACUGAGACACGGUCCAGACUCCUACGGGAGGCAGCAGUGGGGAAUAUUGCACAAUGGGCGCAAGCCUGAUGCAGCCAUGCCGCGUGUAUGAAGAAGGCCUUCGGGUUGUAAAGUACUUUCAGCGGGGAGGAAGGUGUUGUGGUUAAUAACCGCAGCAAUUGACGUUACCCGCAGAAGAAGCACCGGCUAACUCCGUGCCAGCAGCCGCGGUAAUACGGAGGGUGCAAGCGUUAAUCGGAAUUACUGGGCGUAAAGCGCACGCAGGCGGUCUGUCAAGUCGGAUGUGAAAUCCCCGGGCUCAACCUGGGAACUGCAUUCGAAACUGGCAGGCUUGAGUCUUGUAGAGGGGGGUAGAAUUCCAGGUGUAGCGGUGAAAUGCGUAGAGAUCUGGAGGAAUACCGGUGGCGAAGGCGGCCCCCUGGACAAAGACUGACGCUCAGGUGCGAAAGCGUGGGGAGCAAACAGGAUUAGAUACCCUGGUAGUCCACGCCGUAAACGAUGUCUACUUGGAGGUUGUGCCCUUGAGGCGUGGCUUCCGGAGCUAACGCGUUAAGUAGACCGCCUGGGGAGUACGGCCGCAAGGUUAAAACUCAAAUGAAUUGACGGGGGCCCGCACAAGCGGUGGAGCAUGUGGUUUAAUUCGAUGCAACGCGAAGAACCUUACCUGGUCUUGACAUCCACAGAAGAAUCCAGAGAUGGAUUUGUGCCUUCGGGAACUGUGAGACAGGUGCUGCAUGGCUGUCGUCAGCUCGUGUUGUGAAAUGUUGGGUUAAGUCCCGCAACGAGCGCAACCCUUAUCCUUUGUUGCCAGCGGUCCGGCCGGGAACUCAAAGGAGACUGCCAGUGAUAAACUGGAGGAAGGUGGGGAUGACGUCAAGUCAUCAUGGCCCUUACGACCAGGGCUACACACGUGCUACAAUGGCGCAUACAAAGAGAAGCGACCUCGCGAGAGCAAGCGGACCUCAUAAAGUGCGUCGUAGUCCGGAUUGGAGUCUGCAACUCGACUCCAUGAAGUCGGAAUCGCUAGUAAUCGUGGAUCAGAAUGCCACGGUGAAUACGUUCCCGGGCCUUGUACACACCGCCCGUCACACCAUGGGAGUGGGUUGCAAAAGAAGUAGGUAGCUUAACCUUCGGGAGGGCGCUUACCACUUUGUGAUUCAUGACUGGGGUGAAGUCGUAACAAGGUAACCGUAGGGGAACCUGCGGUUGGAUCACCUCCUUACCU
rnacentral:rRNA from 1 species